UCUGCUUCCAACCAACAUGUUUCAGUGUGAAAUGUUGUAUGUAGAUUUGCUAAUGUGAUAUACAAAGUUCAGUAGGGGUGUGUAGCAUUUAUGUUUAAUUCUAUCUUCUCCUGUUUUUGUGACGCUAGGAGUUAGUGGUUUGUCUUACUGUUCUUUUUGUUUGAGUAGCUCAGGUUGCUUAGCUUUAGUUCCCUUCUGUUUGUUUUACUGUUACCCCACCCUGAAGCUUUAAAGACUUUAAAUAAAACCUUUAAAGGGCUGCUAAUCCCUUGUUGCUGGCAGUUCUUGAGAGCUGGGAAGAGGGGAGUCUCAUUCUUUUCAUGUUGCGCCGGGGUUUCCCCUAGGCUGAGUCGUAACAGUCUGACAGUGUUUGCUGCUGCUGCUGCAGGACUCAUCUUCUUUAUUGAGAUCAGUAAUUUGUUGAGCUUCAUGUUAUCUCACCUAACCUAACAAGUUUAAUCUCAGUUACUGGCAGCAGAUGAGGUGUAUUUUAUGACUGUGUGCUCCAGUAUUGAGACACAGGGUGCACUUCACUGUUCUCUCCACUAGAGAGUGCCAGAUGCAGUGAUUUUUUUUUUCCCCAGUCAGGGAGGGAAGGAGGGAGGGGAAUCCCUUCCUUCACCGCUUUUCUGACUACCUGCCUGAGUGACUUACUCACUGCUUCAGCUUGACCUAAUAAAUCACAUUACUGAGGCCAGCAGUGUAAUUACUGGCCAGCUGUCGCGCCUCUUCUUUAACUCUGGGCUGGAUUGUGUGAACCGGACUGGACUGCGGGAGAGUCAGCAGAGUGGAAUGGACAGAAAUCCAAUGGAGAGGACUGAACUGGACUCAGUUAUAAUGAUGCAGCUUCCCGUAAACCCACAGAUGAAGAUACAGAGACAGGUUAAAAAAAAAUGAUGAAUUGAUCUGCCAUCACUUCCUGCUUUCAUGUGUUGAGUAAGAAGACGGAUAAAGGUGAAUUUUCCUGCUACAUGGAUGGAAAUUUAAUGCUUCUGAUGCUUAUUUCUGCUGCAAAAACAAAAAAAACAAAAAAAAGUGUGGGUGGAACAGCAGGAGCUCAACCCAGAAACGUGUGAAGUUCAAAGAACAGACCAGAAAUCUUUCUGCAAGCCAGAUUGAUCCCUGGCAACCAGACAAACCUGCACAUAUGUCCAUGCAUCCAGCGUUCAUUGCAUCCAGGAGAGACAUCUGAUCAUGUGGACAUGUAGUCAUAAAUGUUCCACCUCCAUGAGGAAAAUAAUUCCUUUAUAAGAUGUAGAACAAUGUAUUAAAUUGCGUCUAAUUUACAGUAAUCUGUGUUGUUUUUUUAAUGUAAAUGUAACAGUUUUGACAGUAGAGUUUUGUUGGUGGUUGAACUUGAAUGAGAAAACAUUUCAUGAAUUUUUAAAGAUGAGUUCA